rnacentral:rRNA from 1 species
CAGCAGCCGCGGUAAUACGGAGGGUGCAAGCGUUAAUCGGAAUUACUGGGCGUAAAGCGCACGCAGGCGGUUUGUUAAGUCAGAUGUGAAAUCCCCGAGCUUAACUUGGGAACUGCAUUUGAAACUGGCAAGCUAGAGUCUCGUAGAGGGGGGUAGAAUUCCAGGUGUAGCGGUGAAAUGCGUAGAGAUCUGGAGGAAUACCGGUGGCGAAGGCGGCCCCCUGGACGAAGACUGACGCUCAGGUACGAAAGCGUGGGGAGCAAACAGGAUUAGAUACCCGCGUAGUCCCUGUCUCUUAUAA